GUGUCAGCAGCCGCGGUAAUACGGAGGGUGCAAGCGUUAUCCGGAUUCACUGGGUUUAAAGGGUGCGUAGGUGGGUAAGUAAGUCAGUGGUGAAAUCUCCGGGCUUAACCCGGAAACUGCCAUUGAUACUAUUUGUCUUGAAUACUGUGGAGGUCAGCGGAAUAUGUCAUGUAGCGGUGAAAUGCUUAGAUAUGACAUAGAACACCAAUUGCGAAGGCAGCUGGCUACACAAAUAUUGACACUGAGGCACGAAAGCGUGGGGAUCAAACAGGAUUAGAUACCCUGGUAGUCCACGCCCUAAACUAUGGAUACUCGACAUUUGCGAUAAACUGCAAGUGUCUGAGCGAAAGCAUUAAGUAUCCCACCUGGGAAGUACGAUCGCAAGAUUGAA
rnacentral:rRNA from 1 species